UCCAGGACAAAUUUCAAGGAAUUAUUUUGAAAAUGGUCAAAUCGAAAGGUUGUUACUCUCGUAGCAUUGAAAUAUGGGUAAACUAAAAUGCUUCGAGGUUGUGUUGAACGAGAGCAAGUCCGUGUUUCAUCCGGGCGAGCGGGUGAACGGGCAGGUGGUAGUCGAGUUGAAAGGGGACAUAAAAAUGAGAUCUCUGAGAAUUUUUAUGAGGGGUGUUGCUAAAGUUCACUGGACCGAAUCGCGAAGCACGGGCAGUCGACUCGGCUCGUACACCGAGCACUACAACGCGGAGGUGGAGUAUUUCUUCAAGAGACAAGUUCUUUUUGGUGGAGAAAUAUCGGAUGGCCGCGAUACCCUGACUGAAGGGAGGCAUGAGUUCAACUUUUCGUUUGAGUUACCCAUGGGAGGGAUUUCAACAUCAUUUGAAGGAAAGCAUGGGAGUAUUCGUUACUGGCUUAAGGCUGAAAUGGACAAGCCUUGGUCUUUCAACCACAAAACAAAGAAAGCAUUUACAGUGAUCAGUCCUACAGAUAUCAACAGACCAGAAUAUCAGACCCAAGUGGAGUGCAGUAUUGAGAAAACUCUGUGUUGUUGGCUUUGUACAUCAGGACCGAUCUCCAUAACAGCCAGAACUGACCGCCGUGGCUAUUGUCCUGGAGAGUCUAUAGCGAUAUCGGCCGAGUUCGACAACCACUCAUCUCGCACCGUGAUCCCCUACGCCACUCUGUACCAGACACAGGCUUUCUUCGCCAACGGGAAGUCGCGAGUUCGCCGGACAAAGUUCACAGUUCUCACAGGUCUACCUGUCGCUCCAAGAACAAGAGGAAGCUGGGACUCACAGCUGUUGAAGAUCCCAGCCGUUUCGCCGUCAAUAAUGAACUGCUGUGUCAUGAAGGUCGACUACUUUGUAAAGGUUGCUGUUCAUAUCCCCGGUGCUUACAACCUGACGAUGCAUCUACCCAUAGUGAUUGGUACUGUGCCAUACCGCCGCGCCCAACCCUACUGCUACACCGAGUCGAGGUACUACCGCGAAACUCAGGCUCAGUUUGCCAUGGACUUCUUGCCAGUUCCUCCUCCCUACCGGGAAACCAUCACACCACCUCCACCUUUUGAUGACCCACCAACGUAUGCUGAGAGUAUUGGCGGCGCUGUCAACAUAAAUGAUGACGACGAUGACGACAACAGCUCAAACAUGGGUGACCUCACCUACACCCCGAUGUACACCUACGUCUAUAACUACAGACCUCCGCCGGCUUAUGCAGAGGUGUGUACGGCCGACAGCUAGAUUUGUUCUUAGUCAUUGUACAAAGAUUGAUGCUUCGUCUUAAUUAGUUUACUAAAGAGUGAUCCACUCUCACAUCUUGAACAUCUGACGUUGGAUGACAGCUAGUGUUACACUGGGCAGAUAACACACUGUGGACACAAGCAUGGUUCUACAACUGGUGCAGAGAUUUAAGUUGAAUGGCAUUUCUACCAGUGAAGAUUUUCUUUCAAAGGGAGGUAAUUCUGGCCCUCGAGUUGGAUUGAUCCUUAUUUUGGUGCCAUUUGUAUAGUCUCUUUCUCUGAGACGAUUUAUCCAAACAUGGCAUUUGUAAAUAUUUGCAGAAAGGUUCUUGUUUGAAGACAUGCAAAGGAAAUACAUGUAUUUGAGUGGUGUAAAGAACUGAUGUGUUUGUUGUUUGAGCUCAACCACUAUAUAUUUAUAUCUGUGCUCAGGAUGUUUUCUUUGUUUCUGUUUUAUAUGAUUGAGCAGACAAAAACCACAUAUAGAUUAUUUGCUGUUUUUAUUUUUGUCUUUUGGGGUUGAUGGGUGAGCGUACUGUAAAUAACUAUAAUUAAAUUGGAUUAUCUUUUUAAAAAGUUUUGUUAAGUAGGAACUAUCUGUAAUAAAAGUAGAGUAUAUGCAAGAGACAUUAAAAGAGCAUUUGUUAUAACAGCAACAGUUACUUGUAAAUGUUCCUUGAAUCAGUAUUGUGCAGUAUUCUUACAAGGGUGCAGAAAUUAAAAAUAUUUCACUAGCGCGCCGGACCAGAACUAAAAUUUACUAGUCAGCCAGCCUGUAGAACAAUAUUAUAAUAUACACUGUCUUCACAUCAAUAUAUAUAUUGAUAUUAUAUGAAGAGUUUCAUCACAAAAUGCGAUAAAUGCCACUAUACACACCCAAUCCUAAAAACUGUUUUAUUCCAAAUCACGAUAAACACUAGGCCAGUUUCUCUGCAAUCUGUGAUAUAUCCUCAGAUAGUCAUAUCGCGUUUUGCUGAAAACUGAAUUUGAACUUGUGUUUGUCUACGUGUGAACAGUGUCCGAGUGGUGUUCGCACAAUGGUUUUUAAUAUGGUGUUUAUCACGUUUUGCGAUGAAACUCUUCAUUCAUAUAUAUAUAUAUAUAUAUAUAUAUAUAUAUAUAUAUAUAUUAAUAUUAUAAUGUGUCUUAUGACAAACAUUAUUAAAGACGCUUGGUAACGGA